AAGAUCCCCAAUUCUUCACAUUCCUGUAUUUGCUCAUCACUCAGUAUAUCCCCUGCCCUGGUUUUCAAAUUUUUAUAAUACGUCGGGGGAGGCGAUGGCAUGAAUUCAAAUCCCCCAAUUCCACUCCUUUUCCUCAUUUCCCUCAAAGUUCUAAAUAUAUCCUCAGUUACCAAAGCUAAAUGCUGCACCCCUGCCCCUUCAUUGUGCUCCAAAUACGUCUGAAUUUGACUCUUCCUUUUA
rnacentral:misc_RNA from 1 species